GACCGCCGGCCAAUCCAAGCAAUCCAGAUUCCGGUGUGAAAAUUCCCCCAAGUUAGAAGCCUGCUGCGAUUGGUUACAUAACGAUAGUGAAAAAUGAAGUUGGAACGGUUUCUCAGUUCAGUGAGUGAAAAAUUUUCGCGUUACAUAAUUGGUGCUCAGCCGUCAAGAUUUGACAGCUCGGUUUUUCUCAAGGCUGUGUUACCUCGGAGACCGAAUCCCGGAGAAGCCGAUUCAAGAAAUUCUUGGUUCCGGAUGAUGUGUAAUCCUACAGCGAGAGUUCCAGUUCAAGAGAUGUUGGUGAUUUUUUCUCCGCAACUAGUGUUAUGCAACUUGUCCAUGUGAGCUAAAUGUAAUCCCACUGGUUUCGGGAAAUCUAGCUUGGCAUCAGGGAAACUAUCCGGAAGUUCUUGUUCCGUUGAAUAACUUUGCUGAAGACAACAUCCUUUCAAGCUACGAAAUGUAUCCGUGCAUCAAAUAAGCUCAAAUUUUCAGAGGCUCAUAUUUAGUGACCAAUACUUCCAGCAUCCCAUCCAAAUUUCAACUCCAGAUAUCUAUGAAAGAGGACUACCUAAAUUUCUUGGGCAACUUUGAAGACCUGCUGCGGAUUCGGUACAAGCUGUUGGGUUGGGAGUUUUCGUGUUCCAGUCUUUGAUUUUCAAGGUCCAAGAAGAGGAUAUCGACUCAGCUAUUAAAUGCCAUGCUCUAUCAGCCUUGAGAGCAUAUUUCCUGAUCGUAAAGGACCUCACCAGGUGUCGAACAAAGAGGUUGUCCAACGAAAACUUAACUUGAGAAGCUCUAGUUUGAUGGAGUACUUCAAGUAGUACAAACCUUGGAUUACUCAACAUUGGCAAUUGUCCAACUUUUUUGGUCUUUGCUAGAGAAGAAGCAUUAGAUAUGACGCUCUUCUCGAACAGAAUUGGUCACGAAUUGAGUAAUCGGCAUACGUCGGAUUAGGAAUCUAUUGCUGACCAUCAUUACAUCUACACUGUGAUGCAUAAUUGAUCGGACAAACGUCGAUUUUCAUACAAAAUGGCCAAGUUUGAGAUGCUGUAACUAUGGUUUGCUAUGGUGGAUUGAGCUCAUUUUUUGACACGAAACAACAUACCAAAAUGCUGAAAUUUACGAAUACGGAGUACACAUUGUUUUCGUUCACAGAUCUGGGCGUGUCAAGGCGUUCUAAAUGUGCAAAAGUGAUCAGUGUCCGAUCACUUUUGCACAUUUUGAACGCUUUGCUACGCCCAGAUCUGUGAACGGAAUCAUUUUGUACAUCGCACACGUAAAAUUCAGCAUAUUGGUACUUCCGCGUCAAAAACUGAACUCAAUCCAGCAAAGAAUCCCCUUGUUAUGGCUAGUUUCCACUGCGUACGUACUGUGCAAAAAGAUAGGACAAGUAAUGGUCAAGUAAUGAUUCCGCUUCAAAAUUACUUGUGCAGUUCGCAGAUGGCAAGUAAAGCGCUGUUUGUAGAUCAGAAGGAAUUUCUCAGCCUAUCUUGAUGCAUGGGAAAUUCCUUGCCUGAAUUGCUCAAGAAACCGGUUUUUCUUUCAUCGCAGUACGCAGUUGCGAAGCAAUGACAAUUCAAAUGGCAGUCACCGUAGAAAGUUUCUGCCAGGAAUCGCUCAAGAAGUUUCUUGAGAAAUUCCUUUUGAACUCGAAACUGCCAGGCUUAUUCUGCUCGGCGUGUGACGUGACAAAAGUCGUGUCGCAUGUGUCACCCGAUUCCCGUAGGCGGAUGCGGUGACAAGAGUCGGUGUGGGUGAACACCGAUGAACUCUCACCGCAUUCUCACAGUCGCUUCAGAUCGACAGUUGUCGCAUCCAAGUGAUGUUUUGAUGUGAGAUUUGUCGUGACCUCAGCAGGUGGCGAGAGCACAGUCGAAACAAGUUAAACGCAAAUUAAUGGACGUGGUCGAUGGAAAGGCACAUCGUCCAACCGACUGCCGGCGGGUGCAUGCAGUGGGUACCAGUUGAACUCCAUGCAGCCCCUGCUAAUUCCUACAUCGCGAAAGAAAAUUCGUCAACAUUGAGGAACCAGGAAGAUUUUUCCCGGAAGCAUCCCCUGACUAUUGUUUGAAAUCAAUACCUCGUGCAGGCCCAGUUAACAGCGAAAAUUCGGAAGAUACCCUAGGUUCUAAAGCAAUCGCUCAACGAACAACACCGGAAUAGUAAAAGUUAACUCAGCAUCGUGGUGCGAGCUACCGUUUUCCUAGAGGAGGUGACCGAGAGAAGCACGCCCGUUCUGCGCCGAAGAGUUUCCGACAGGAACUGAAACGGAUACAGGUUCAGUGCCAGGAUCAUACGGUGCCACCCCAAACGGAGAUGUUGCCGAUCGUGCCAAUAAGCAAACGGAAGGCAUUUGUCUGAUGAAUUAUUCGGGAUCGCAGGGGAAUGGGUGGCCGCAAGACAUGGUCGGAAGGAGAGUUGAGAAAAUUGAGCCUGCUUGUGGAAUCGUGGACUUGAGUGCACUAGGAGAGUCAGUCGUUUGUGAAAACUUGAGGUCCAACUGACGAAGAGUAUUUAUACAAAUAAUUGAAACUGGAAUGAAAAACAUAUCGCUCAUAGAACUGUAAUCUUAAGUUUAGCUUUCUGUGUAAUACCUACUUGAAAAGCGCAUGAUGAUUCAAAAUAAACCUUUAAGGAUACUA